GGGGGCGCUUGAUUCACAUCCCUUGGCUUCGUUCGCAUGUCCGCUGCCUUUUAAGCAGUAGGUCGUAGGUUCGAUUCCUACCGUCCUCA
rnacentral:tRNA from 1 species